AAGCUGACGGAGAAAGACCGGGUGGGGGAAGAAGGCUCUUGGGUUGUAAACCCCUUUUCUCUGGGAAGAACAAAAUGACGGUACCAGAGGAAUCAGCAUCGGCUAACUCCGUGCCAGCAGCCGCGGUAAGACGGAGGAUGCAAGCGUUAUCCGGAAUGAUUGGGCGUAAAGCGUCCGCAGGUGGCAGUUCAAGUCUGCUGUCAAAGACCGGGGCUUAACCUCGGAAAGGCAGUGGAAACUGAACAGCUAGAGUAUGGUAGGGGCAAAGGGUGUGCCUGGUGUAGCGGUGAAAUGCGUAGAGAUCAGGAAGAACAUCGGUGGCGAAGGCGCUUUGCUGGACCAUAACUGACACUCANGGACCAAAGCUANGGGANCGAAUGGGAUUAGAUNCCCCAGUAUCCUANCCGUAAACCAUCGAUACUACGUGUUGUCUGUCUCACCCCCANCCCCCAAGCUACGCCUUANGUAUCCCGCCUGGGCACUAC
rnacentral:rRNA from 1 species